AGGAAGUUAGGCUGAGGGGCAGAGAGCGAGACUUUUCUAUUUUCCAAAAGCUCGGUCUGAGAGCCCCUUCGUGUGCU
rnacentral:pre_miRNA from 10 species